rnacentral:sRNA from 2 species
AUUUAACUUACUCCGCCCGAGUCAUCGGGUGAAGGCUGGCGGUUUUUUAACCGUCGGCCU